GCUACAAGGAGCAGGGGAUCCCACAGCAGCUGUAGUGGCUGGGACAAGUAUGGUCAGAGAAACACGGCGAGAGAUUUCCUUUGGCAGCCGUGGGCCAUGGACCUUUUCAUUACCCUUUGUCUCUCUUCUUGUCCCCUUUGUUUUGUCUCCUCGUGUCUGCCCGGUUCGCCUGCCCGUCCAGCGGAGCGGAGAUGCAGAGCAGCCGGCGCAGACCUGCACUGAUGCCCCUGAGCAGCGGAGAUGAGGCUUGGCUUGGACUGGUCCCGGCCAGCACGCGGGGGGCGGCCAACGAGGAGGACGAGGGUGCCAGGACAAGGAAACACCCUUGGCGAAGGUGGCACCUAGGCAGGCAGCUGAACUAAGGGAGAGGGAGAUCCUGCCUUCCCUCUGCUCCCAGGGGGAGGUCGCUGAAGAUGUUUUGCCUCCUUUUUAUGCUUGCUGUUAAAGGACGCUGGCUGUGAACAUCAAAUGACAAGGAGCUAUUCAUAGAUGUAUGUAGAGGAUGUAAAAGCAAACCAGUGGUACUUUUUUCCCCACCCUGAGAUUCCAUCCGUGACUGCUUUGCAGUAGUGGAGGGUCCAACCCAGCCUCCUCUGCUGUCUGUGUAUAUAUGAUGUUCACUGAAGCUCUGUCCCCACAGAUGUCUUGAGAAACGUGCUUGCUGUAAAUCAUAUUGUACCGCUGAAGUGACCGGGGCCAUCCCCUGCUUCCACCCGCUGCCACCAUGCAAAGACCAGAGCUCCCACCAGCCCAGGGAACACUUUUCCUAGCACAGGACUGGUGUCCUGCAGCACCUCACCUGUAGAGCAGCAAGUACUGCCAAAAACCUCUCAUAUAAAACAAUACUGGGGAGCCAAAGAAUGAGACUUUUCCUGCCUCUGAAAGGGACUUGCUAGCAGUGUCUCCAUGCUUUGGAAAUGGAUCCCCUUAGAGCACAAUGAGUGCUCCUGGCUGAAGCAGCAUCCCAGCUCUGCUUCCCCAGAUAGCAGGAGGAGCCCUGCUGAAAGAGGGCAAAGCCAGGCUGCUGACAUGCAAGGAGGGCCCUUCCAGACAGAGGAGUUUCACACAAACCUCAGCCAAAACCGGGAGCCACCCAAGCACGGCAGAGCUGAGACCUACUACCAGCCCAUUGCUCCUGCCAGGAGGCAGAUGGUGAGAAAGCAAUGGCAGCAAACCCCACUGCCCUGCAAGUGUCCAGCCUCUCCUGGUAAGAUGGUCUGCUUUUAACAAAGGUUUUUAUUUUUCAUGCAGAACAGGUCCUGUCAGCUAAAAUACUCUCUGUUGUAAAGAGACCUCAGGUGUGAAAAAGUAGCAAGUGCCCUGAGCUGCCCACCAAGGGUGGAGGAGAGCCCUGUGCUGGGCAGGGCACUUGUCAAGUGAUCCCACAGAGACCUGCUGGGAAGCUCCUUUAGUGUUUUGGUUUAGCAAACCUCUGGCUUAGCCUCCCCACAACCCCUGCUGUUCUCCUGAUGCAGGGACACUGUCUGGAUUUAAUGCAACACCUCUCUUCCAGCAAGUUUCCUCCCUGCUCAAUGCCCGCACUGCACUGUGAGCCCACAGCCUGUGGAAAGGGCAUCAGCACCUCUUUGCCCUCCCAGCUCAGGAGGUCCUUCUUCAGGGCUGAGGACAAAGCAGCAUUCACAGUCCCAACUAACUUGUGAUGGGACAGGACCCCUCUAAACUAUGCCUAUUUAUCCAAUGAAGGCAUCAGAAUGAAUGACAGACUUUUUCCACUUGAACAUUUUGUGGCUGGGCACUAUAAAAAGCUUUGGGCUGCCUGAACAGGAGAAAAGGGGCAGAGAGUUAGGAGCCUUGGGAGCACCAGCUUUCAUCGUGAAGAUGCUGGCUCAAGUAUUUCCUCUGAUCUCAGCAGUAUUAAUUGGAAAAAAAAAAUAUAGAGACAAGGAGGCAAAUUUGUAACACAAACAAUUAAUUGUACAUUUUACCAAGCCAGACUUCAGGUAGGGCAGUGUAUUUGUACAGCUCGCAGUAUACAAUAAGGAAAAAGGACAGGUCUCCUAAGCAAACCCAUGGUAUAAUUCAGGCUGCAUUUCUCUUGCCUCACACCCU
ensembl:lncRNA